rnacentral:rRNA from 1 species
ACGCGUAGGUAACCUGCCUGGUAGCGGGGGAUAACUAUUGGAAACGAUAGCUAAUACCGCAUAACAAUGGAUGACACAUGUCAUUUAUUUGAAAGGGGCAAUUGCUCCACUACAAGAUGGACCUGCGUUGUAUUAGCUAGUAGGUGAGGUAAUGGCUCACCUAGGCGACGAUACAUAGCCGACCUGAGAGGGUGAUCGGCCACACUGGGACUGAGACACGGUCCAAACUCCUACGGGAGGCAGCAUG